rnacentral:piRNA from 1 species
UAGUGGCAAAACCCAAAUUUGAUCUGCU